rnacentral:rRNA from 1 species
UACGUAGGGGGGCGAGCGUUGUCCGGAUUUAUUGGGCGUAAAGAGCGUGUAGGCGGCCAGGUAGGUCUGCUGUGAAAACUCGAGGCUCAACCUCGAGACGUCGGCGGAAACCAUCUGGCUAGAGUCCGGGAGAGGAGAGUGGAAUUCCUGGUGUAGCGGUGAAAUGCGCAGAUAUCAGGAAGAACACCCGCGGCGAAAGCGGCUCUCUGGAACGGUACUGACGCUGAGACGCGAAAGCGUGGGGAGCGAACAGG